UCGGAUUUCGUUAUACAGAUUGACGUCCAUAUGCAGCUAGACUUUAGGUUGUUGACGCUACUUGUCUCCCGCACACGAGACUUGUAGGUUGUUACCAGGACUUAUAUCUCACAUACGAUACUUGUAGGUUGUUACCAGGACUUAUAUCUCACAUACAAGACUUGUAGGUUGUUAUCGGGUCUUAUAUCUCACAUACGAUACUUGUAGGUUGUUACCAGGACUUAUAUCUCACAUACAAGACUUGUAGGUUGUUAUCGGGUCUUAUAUCUCACAUACGAUACUUGUAGGUUGUUACCAGGACUUAUAUCUCACAUACAAGACUUGUAGGUUGUUAUCAGGUCUUAUAUCUCACAUACGAUACUUGUAGGUUGUUACCAGGACUUAUAUCUCACACACAAGACUUGUAGGUUGUUAUCAGGUUGCAAUGGGACCUGAUCUCCUACAGAUAACGA